rnacentral:rRNA from 1 species
UACGGGGGGAGCAAGCGUUGUUCGGAUUCAUUGGGCGUAAAGGGUGUGUAGGUGGCGCCGUAAGUCGGGUGUGAAAUCUCGGGGCUUAACUCCGAAACUGCAUUUGAUACUGCGGUGCUUGAGGACUGGAGAGGAGACUGGAAUUUACGGUGUAGCAGUGAAAUGCGUAGAGAUCGUAAGGAAGACCAGUGGCGAAGGCGGGUCUCUGGGACAGUUCCUGACACUGAGGCACGAAGGCCAGGGAGCAAACGGG